GAUGAACGCUGGCGGCGUGCUUAACACAUGCAAGUCGAACGGAAAGGCCGAAGCUUGCUUCGGUACUCGAGUGGCGAACGGGUGAGUAACACGUGGGUGAUCUGCCCUGUACUUCGGGAUAAGCUUGGGAAACUGGGUCUAAUACCGGAUAUGACGAUCUCUUGGAUGGGGUUGUGGAAAGCUUUUGCGGUAUGGGAUGAGCUCGCGGCCUAUCAGCUUGUUGGUCGGGUAAUGGCCUACCAAGGCGUCGACGGGUAGCCGGCCUGAGAGGGUGUACGGCCACAUUGGGACGGAGAUACGGCCCAGACUCCUACGGGAGGCAGCAGUGGGGAAUAUUGCACAAUGGGCGCAAGCCUGAUGCAGCGACGCCGCGUGGGGGAUGACGGCCUUCGGGUUGUAAACUCCUUUCGCAAUCGACGAAGCCUUUUGGUGACGGUAGGUUGAGAAGAAGCACCGGCUAACUACGUG
rnacentral:rRNA from 1 species